AUUUACUUUGAAUUGAUUUAUGCAUUUGAAUAUGAUCAAUAUUUACCAAAAAUGCAAUAGCAAUUACUACACGACUUCAGGAUCGAGGAGAAGGUCUAAUCACACUUCCCAAUGAAUCCGUUGCUAAUUCGAUUCCCCGGCAACGCCAGUUAUUCCCCGGAAGAAAGUGGCAUCACUAGACUGGUCAUCUCUUCUACCCCCAGCCGGGCUCUGUUCAAUAUCUCUGCCAUCAAAUAAAAGUCAAAUACCCCUAGCUAAGGAAGGGUCACCAAAACGAAU
rnacentral:lncRNA from 1 species